GGGAGUCCCUCCCUCUAAAAGCACUCUGUGUGGGGAACAUGAGAGCCAGACCAAAGCUCAGAGGAACCCACCUGGACCUCCACCCAGCUCUGUGUCAUCUAAGAACAAACGGAUGAAGGAUUUGUUUAGUAAUUUAGGGGAGAAAAAGUCAUCUGGUAAAACGAGGCUUCGGAGACUUAAACCUGGACCUACACCCAGCUCUGUGUCCUUAAAGAGUGACUGGUCUAAUGAUCGCCUCAUUCAUUUUAAUGACCAGCAGACAUCUGCUGCAGAGAGAGUGGACCAGAAGAGCUCAGAGGUUCCCAGUGGUCAGUCUGCCCAGCAGCAUCAAACACAG